CAAUAUGUCAUAAAUAAUUCUUUAUACCUAAUGUAAACUUAUGUUGAAACAUUUUUGAAAAAAAAACAUUUAGGCACCCUAUUAAUUUAAUUUAUUCAUUUCUCAUUUUUAUUUAUUUAACCCUUAUGUACAUUUUUUCAAAACUGUGGAAUAUAACUUAGUUUUUCUCUAUGAUCGACUACUACUGUAGUACAAUUACAUGGGGAUCGAAGUCGGGCUCAAAAGCAAUUAAUUUAAAAACAACACACCGCGCCGAAAUUCAAUUUCUUGGAGAGUUCCACGCAGCCAUGUUGAACUUGAUCAUGAUGUUGUCAGGGGCGAAAGAGAGUGACACGAAAAGGAGAAGCAUGAUUAACUUUUGAUGUAAUUUCUGUUUUAACAGAAGAUGAAGACAUUUACGACCCUGUUUAGCGGUAGGAACAAUGUACAAAAUUUUAUCAUGUGUCCUUGAAUGAAUAAUUGCCUCUGCUACUGAUAAUGUUACUGUUCCUUAGUCUGGGCUCUACACAUAAAAUGCCUGGCAGUAAAAACGUUUGGGCAAGCGCUAUUUAGAUUUUGUAAUAAUUAUUUAACACUUUUAAUCAUCUCUCUUAAAGAUGGAUUUUAACCAGAAUUUUCUCGUUUGGUAUUGGUUUCAGAAUUUUAGUCACUAAAGUGUUCCUCUGUUCAGCAUUUACAGAGUAUGUUGUACAAUGUAAUAAAAUAUUUAUUUAUUUCUUGUGCAUACUCAAGAAUAUAUUCAGCACUUAUUUUGAUUAUUUAAAUAGUUGCAGUGGACUGUCCCUGAGACAAUUCCCCACAUCGCCGGCUAUGUAGACAGCAUGUGAAAAUGAAAUUGUGCCAGAAAAGUUUGAAGUAGCUAUGGGAAUGACCAACAUUGAACUUGCUGAGCCUUCCUUCUGAAAGUGACUUGACCAGAUAUUUGGCUACCCAGUAUGAGGUACGAACUAAUCAUUUGUUGUACGACUUAUUGUAUAUGAGAUUGCCACCAUUUACUAGAACUUUGCAUUUGCUGUCCACUUUAAAAACCUGCUAUCUACAGUUAUCUUUCUGCUACAUGAAAUAAAAUAUCGUGGAGGAACACAAAGGAAAGGGCUGUGCAUCUCAACAUAUUCAAGGUCAAGCAGCUUUUUACCAUAUCCAUAGUAUCUUGCUGCUAAAUGAAAGAAUUAAUGUGGAGGAGCAGAGAAAAGGGCACUACAACAUGUUCAAGGUCAAGCAGAAAUUAGGAGCUAAAUGUGCUUCUCCAGAGCUGAAAACUUCUUGGCAUGAAGAGAAGAAAAAGAAGAAGAAGCAGUUUUAAAUAUUGAUUACGUCUUCAUAGUACAAAAAAUGAUUCUAAAGAUAAUACUAUCUAUGAAAUUAGAAAACUGA